rnacentral:lncRNA from 1 species
AAUUAUUAUGCUUAAGUUCGGCUGCAACAGCAUUCGUUGGAUCCCUUCAGGUUAUAGUUAUUAUGCUUAAGUAAAGUUCAAUUGCUUAACGAGGCUAAUACACUUCGGAGAAAAACAGCAUGUGAUGAAGAUAGAUUACAGUGAAAAGUGAACUACACUAAGCCCAGUCAAUGGUGGAGGUGCCUCGACAGCAGGUGCCUCAGCAGCUUGAGCCUUACGAUUUAGCCUUCACAAGCCUCGCAGGUUCGGUUUCCCAACCACCUCGACUUCAUCACAAUUCAGCCUUUACAAGCCUCGCAGGUUCGGUUUUCUAACCACCUCGACUUCAUCACAAUUCAGCCUUCACAAGCCUCGCAGGUUCGGUUUCCUAACCACCUCGGCUUCAUCACAUUUCAGCCUUCACAAGCCUCGCAGGUUCGGUUUCUCAACCACCUCGGCUUCAUCACAUUUCAGCCUUCACAAGCCUCGCAGGUUCGGUUUCCCAACCACCUCGACUUCAUCACAAUUCAACAUUCAUAAGCCUCACAGGUUCGGUUUAUUCAACCACCUCGGCUUCUUCAUCAUUCAUUCACAACAACGCAUUUCUAACUCCAACCAUGACAUAAAUGACUAUACUUGAACUUGGGGGACUAUUAUUUGGAAUUAAAAAAUUCUUUCAAUUUUUACCCAACCCACUGGCUUUACUUCAUUGAAGUCCACGCAUUGCAUAAAUGAAUAUUAGACUCAAACUUGGGGGACUAUUGCAAUACUAGUACCUCAGCAUCACUACAUAUCAUUGC